UACGUAGGUGGCAAGCGUUGUCCGGAUUUACUGGGCGUAAAGAGCGCGCAGGCGGUCGUCCAAGUCGCGUGUGAAAGCCCCCGGCUCAACUGGGGAGGGUCACGCGAUACUGGUCGACUCGAAGGCAGGAGAGGGUAGUGGAAUUCCCGGUGUAGUGGUGAAAUGCGUAGAUAUCGGGAGGAACACCAGUGGCGAAGGCGACUACCUGGCCUGUUUCUUGACGCUGAGGCGCGAAAGCUAGGGGAGCAAACGGG
rnacentral:rRNA from 1 species